GUGCUCAUUUUGAAAGCAUAUAUACUAAAAUUGGAAGGAUACAGAGAAGAUUAGCAUGGUCCCUGAACAAAGAUAAGAUACAAAUUUGUAAAGCAUUUCAUAUUUUU
ensembl:snRNA U6 U6 spliceosomal RNA